UCUAUCAUUUUUGGGGCCUUGGGAUAGAGGUCAUAAUUCUGUUGAAAACAAUUUGUACAAGUUGAUUUUAUUCUCCAACGGCAGCUGGAUUCUGGAGUCUGGAGUGAGGAUUCGAACAGUUUUAUGGCCCAGUUUUCGGUUGCCAUUAAAGAGAUUGUCCCCUAGUGUCCGACACUUGCUGUUGUUGCUCCUCUGCUGCUGCUCCAUCAAAAGGCUGUUCUGCAAAUAAAUUAUUGCCCCGUGCACUUGUGCCUGCCCCCAGAAGAUCCCCCUGACAGCCCCUCCACCCGGAGUCUUGGAGGCAAAAUGCCUACUUAACCAAGGCGCAAUGCUAAAAAUACAAUUGAACCUAUUGCUGACAGCUGUUGCCUUAACCCCUUAGAAGUAUAAUCCGCUCCUGUAUCCGUGCAAUUUAUCAAAAGGCAGCACGCCAGGAAAGCCAACUACAACUACAAGCAGCUCCAACCAGUCGGAUGGCCCUCCGGCGAAAAGCACAAGAUGCUGCCGAGGAGGAGUCGUCUUCAUCUAGUAUUACAUAAGCAAACUUAAGAUGCGAGAUGCGAGCGGCGGUUGGGAGCUUAUCUAUCCGCAAGUAUUGGCUGCUGGCGGGCCAAGGAGCAGAUCAAGUGGCACAAGAUCACAAGCUAAGGAAAAAGGCAAAAAAUAUAUAUAUAUAAAGAGGGAGGAGUACUGUGAUGGGGCCACGACAGCUGGCAAAAGACGGCGGCACUGUACUGGAAACGACAAGUCCAGAUCCAAAGAUCCUGCUUUGCCAGAAAAAAGGCUUCAGGCGGGCACGCGUCAAGCUACAGAGUUGGCCAAAUGGACAAGUAACUGGAA
rnacentral:sRNA from 1 species